rnacentral:rRNA from 1 species
UACGUAGGGUGCGAGCGUUGUCCGGAAUUAUUGGGCGUAAAGAGCUCGUAGGCGGUGUGUCGCGUCGGCCGUGAAAACCUGCAGCUUAACUGUGGGCUUGCGGUCGAUACGGGCAUCACUGGAGUUCGGCAGGGGAGACUGGAAUUCCUGGUGUAGCGGUGAAAUGCGCAGAUAUCAGGAGGAACACCGGUGGCGAAGGCGGGUCUCUGGGCCGAUACUGACGCUGAGGAGCGAAAGCGUGGUGAGCGAACAGG